GAUCAUUCAGGACGUGCCGCGUGGCAGUGGACGCUGACGCAGCGCCACGUGAGAGGCCACGCGGGCGAUCCGCGUGCCCAUGAUCAAAUGACCAAGAUACGUUCCCGCGUGCACGGAUGGCCUAAAUGUGUUCCCUCCCCCAAACGCGAUCGGACGGCCCAUAUUAGAUCUGGAUGGACGACCCAGAUUGGAUCGUGAUAAACGGUCUAGAUUCACUCUCUAUUUAGUUGCGAUCGGAUGGUGUAGAUCAAAUACUAUGGACAGCCCAGAUCAAAAGCAGAUGGAUAUAAAUAACCCCCAUCCACACCAAACCCCAACCCUAUCCGCCAGACCCCCUCGCUAGAGACAAAGACCCAGCCGUCAAGAAGGAGACCGUCGACAUCCUCCAUCACACCGAAGCCCUUUCUGACCGCCAAAAAGGGUAAAAAUUUCUUCUUUUACUUAGAAUUCAAUUCUAAACACACCCAUGUCCAAAUCAGAGCAAAAGGACUGGCCAAUUGACUGAAAAACGCAGGUGAAGCCUAGCAGCGCCGCCACGAGGAAUUUCAUAAAACGCCUCUGAUAAGGCCCUUCUCGAUUCCCAUUUUAUGUAAUUUUUUCACCAUUGUGAUCACCAUGUCUUCUCUACAGGUUGACUAGAGCAAAACACCCAACUACAGCGUGAGCCAGAGGCCGCCGCACCGCAGAGCCCCGCCGCCGAUGAGUUUUGGUUUUUUGUGUUUUUUUAGCCACUGAGGCCUUUUAACGUGUUUUCUUACAGGGAUCGAUGUGAAAUCGG
rnacentral:lncRNA from 1 species